rnacentral:rRNA from 1 species
UACGGAGGGUGCAAACGUUGCUCGGAAUCAUUGGGCGUAAAGCGCACGUAGGUGGCCUGUUAAGUCGGGUGUGAAAUCCCUGGGCUCAACCCAGGAAGUGCCCUCGAAACUGGCAGGCUUGAGUACUGAAGAGGGUCGCGGAAUUCCCGGUGUAGAGGUGAAAUUCGUAGAUAUCGGGAGGAACACCAGUGGCGAAGGCGGCGACCUGGGCAGAUACUGACACUGAGGUGCGAAAGCGUGGGGAGCAAACAGG